rnacentral:rRNA from 1 species
UACGAAGGGUGCAAGCGUUACUCGGAAUUACUGGGCGUAAAGGGCGCGUAGGCGGGCCCGCAAGUCAGGGGUGAAAUCCCACGGCUCAACCGUGGAAGUGCCUUUGAUACUGUGGGUCUUGAGGGAGGUAGGGGCGUGCGGAACUUCCGGUGGAGCGGUGAAAUGCGUAGAUAUCGGAAGGAACACCGGUGGCGAAAGCGGCGCGCUGGACCUCUUCUGACGCUGAGGCGCGAAAGCCAGGGGAGCAAACGGG